rnacentral:rRNA from 1 species
AGUGAACGCUGGCGGUAGGCCUAACACAUGCAAGUCGAACGGCAGCACAGUAAGAGCUUGCUCUUACGGGAGGCGAGUGGCGGACGGGUGAGGAAUACAUCGGAAUCUACUUUUUCGUGGGGGAUAGCGUAGGGAAACUUACGCUAAUACCGCAUACGACCUACGGGUGAAAGCAGGGGAUCUUCGGACCUUGCGCGAUUGAAUGAGCCGAUGUCGGAUUAGCUAGUUGGCGGGGUAAAGGCCCACCAAGGCGACGAUCCGUAGCUGGUCUGAGAGGAUGAUAAGCCACACUGGAACUGAGACACGGUCCAGACUCCUACGGGAGGCAGCAGUGGGGAAUAUUGGACAAAGGGCGCAAGCCUGAUCCAGCCAUACCGCGUGGGUGAAGAAGGCCUUCGGGUUGUAAAGCCCUUUUGUUGGGAAAGAAAAGCAGCAGGUUAAUACCCCGCUGUUCUGACGGUACCCAAAGAAUAAGCACCGGCUAACUUCGUG